rnacentral:rRNA from 1 species
CGUAGGGUGCGAGCGUUAAUCGGAAUUACUGGGCGUAAAGCGUGCGCAGGCGGUUUAGUAAGACAGGCGUGAAAUCCCCGGGCUCAACCUGGGAACUGCGCUUGUGACUGCUAAGCUAGAGUACGGCAGAGGGGGGUGGAAUUCCACGUGUAGCAGUGAAAUGCGUAGAGAUGUGGAGGAACACCAAUGGCGAAGGCAGCCCCCCUAGGUCGAUACUGACGCUCAUGCACGAAAGCGUGGGUAGCAAACAGGAUUAGGAUACCCUGGUAGUCCACGCCCUAAACGAUGUCAACUAGGUGUUGGGAGGGUAAAACCUUUUAGUACCGGAGCUAACGCGUGAAGUUGACCGCCUGGGGAGUACGGCCGCAAGGUUA